rnacentral:rRNA from 1 species
UACGUAGGGGGCAAGCGUUGUCCGGAAUCAUUGGGCGUAAAGAGCGUGUAGGCGGUCCGGUAAGUCGGCUGUGAAAGUCCAAGGCUCAACCUUGGGAUGCCGGUCGAUACUGCCGGACUAGAGUUCGGAAGAGGCGAGUGGAAUUCCCGGUGUAGCGGUGAAAUGCGCAGAUAUCAGGAGGAACACCGGUGGCGAAGGCGGAUCUCUGGGCCUUACCUGACGCUCAGGUGCGAAAGCUAGGGGAGCGAACAGG